rnacentral:pre_miRNA from 1 species
AGGAGGAACAACCCCAGUGGCGGCAGCCAGCUCUGGAGCCCUGGAGUCAGCUCCCGCAGUAGCCUCAGAGCUCUCCGUCUGCAGGGCCUGGAGGCUCCGGGCCGGG